UAUUGGACAAUGGGCGCAAGCCUGAUCCAGCCAUGCCGCGUGAGUGAUGAAGGCCUUCGGGUUGUAAAGCUCUUUUGGCGGGGACGAUGAUGACGGUACCCGCAGAAUAAGCCCCGGCUAACUUCGUGCCAGCAGCCGCGGUAAGACGAAGGGGGCUAGCGUUGUUCGGAAUUACUGGGCGUAAAGCGAGUGUAGGUGGUUGUCCAAGUUGGAUGUAAAGCCUUAGCUCAACUCAAGAAAUGCAUUCAGACUGAUGGCAGGGACCGGAGAGGAUAGUGAAUUCCCAGUGAGUGGUAAAACGAGAAUUGGAAGACACCAGUGGCGAGGCGGCUUCUGGCGUUCUGACAAAGCUAGUCGA
rnacentral:rRNA from 1 species